rnacentral:rRNA from 1 species
AACCCCUAUCCUCAGUUGCCAUCAUUAAGUUGGGCACUCUGUGGAGACUGCCGGUGUUAAGCCGGAGGAAGGUGGGAUGACGUCAAGGUCCUCAUGGCCUUUAUGUCUAGGGCUUACACACGGUGCUACAAUGGUGGUACAAAGAGCAGCUAACUCGCGAGAGUAUGCAAAUCUCAAAAAGCCAUCCUCAGUUCGGAUUGGAGUCUGCAACUCGACUCCAUGAAGUUGGAAUCGCUAGUAAUCGCGGAUCAGCAUGCCGCGGUGAAUACGUUCCCGGGCCUU